ACUAACUGUUACAUGAAGAUGUUUGGUACCAGAGGUAACAGGAGAAUGAUGUCAAACUGUCACAGCUCAGCCUCCUCUUCCUCUUCCUCCUCCUAGGAACCAGUCUAACAAACCAAAAACCAACCAAAAUACAACCUAA